GACGAACGCUGGCGGCGUGCCUAAUACAUGCAAGUAGAACGCUGAAGAGAGGAGCUUGCUCUUCUUGGAUGAGUUGCGAACGGGUGAGUAACGCGUAGGUAACCUGCCUUGUAGCGGGGGAUAACUAUUGGAAACGAUAGCUAAUACCGCAUAACAAUGGAUGACACAUGUCAUUUAUUUGAAAGGGGCAAUUGCUCCACUACAAGAUGGACCUGCGUUGUAUUAGCUAGUAGGUGAGGUAACGGCUCACCUAGGCGACGAUACAUAGCCGACCUGAGAGGGUGAUCGGCCACACUGGGACUGAGACACGGCCCAGACUCCUACGGGAGGCAGCAGUAGGGAAUCUUCGGCAAUGGGGGCAACCCUGACCGAGCAACGCCGCGUGAGUGAAGAAGGUUUUCGGAUCGUAAAGCUCUGUUGUAAGUCAAGAACGAGUGUGAGAGUGGAAAGUUCACACUGUGACGGUAGCUUACCAGAAAGGGGCGGCUAACUACGUG
rnacentral:rRNA from 1 species